GGCCUUCCAAUUUUUUUUCCACACUGUGCUCUCCUUUCAUUAUGCCUCUGUCUUCUUAAGAUUUAGUUUUAUUUUUAGAGAGAGUCCCCGAGUCGGGGGAGGGGCAGAGGGUGAGUAAGAACUUCAAGCAGACUCCCUGUUGAGUGCAGAGCCCGACACGGGGCUCAAUCUCAGGACUCUGAGACAAAACUGAGAGUCAGUCUUAACCGACUGUACCACCGGGGUACCCCUGGCUGUUUCUUCUUAAUCAGUUUUUUUGAAAUUUCAAACAAUUAUCUUUACAGUGAACUUCACAUAGUGAGAUUCUUUUAUAUUUCAGAAUCUUGGAGGUUUGUAUUCUCGUUAUAAUUCCUGAGGUGCCCCCCCACGCCCCGCAGUGGUAGAUCUGUUUAUGUUGUUUAUACGCUGAGGCGACAUCCUCCACGCACACGGUCUCAGCUCUGAAUGCUGUGUGCCUCGGAUGGUGGAGGUGCACUCGCAGGAUGAUUCUGCAUUUGCCACUGUCCAAGGCUUAAAGGACUUCAAGAGUCUGUAUCUAUUUUGUGUCCGUGCUUUUCUUUUGGUUCAUGUACCACUGGGACAGAACAGAUUUGGAGCCCACACCCAUGUAUGGCCUGCUAUUUUAAUGUCUAAUCCCCUUAAUGUACAGAGAGAUGAUCUGGGCUCAAGACUUUAUGCAAGGCUCCAGGUUCUGGCUCCCAUGCCUCCACUGGUCAAAGUCACAUCUGCCUCUGGGCAUUAGAAUUCCAGCCCCCAGCCUCCCUCCCCCCGCCCAUUCCAGGACCAACCCCAACAAAGGAGGACCUCGUAACAGCCACCAGGGAUGGGUCCGUAUGUGAUGCUCUUGUCUUCUCUCUGCACUCACCAAAGUGACCAUGUACCUGACGCUCUCACCUGGAGCAGAAGGCAGCACACAAGCAUCAGCACAGCCUGGUAGGCUCCUAGACAGUCUAAAUUACCUUUUCCUUAAAGCACUUUUAAUCCAUGUCACCAUCUCCUCAUACUUCCACUUACUUUAUUUAUAGAGAAAGAAGUGUUCGUUUUGUUUCUCUGGUCAUCUAAAAGCUCUGGGAUCCUUCAGAGUCUGGAAACAUAGUUUAAAAAAAAAAAAACAAAACUAUUUUCUUGGUUCCCAUACUCUAGAGAAAACAUUUAUUGCCAGAAGCUAAAUCUGAAGAUUUUGUAAGAAAGUCUAUUCAAACCCCUCUAUUUUGGGAUUCACACUUGGCUGUACUGACACAGCCGAACUCUUCUCCUGGCCAGGCCACUCUUCCAGAUAAUAAUAAUUCAGUGCCAUGCCUUCACCAAGGAGCUCUCCUUGCGUCUGGGCGUGAUGUCUGCGAAGAGCCGGGCCCUCACGGCAUGCCUCCCAGUGGGUUAGAGCUGCUCGCUGCACCCAGUGUGGGGCAGGGAGCCUGGCAGUCAACACACGCCCGGGCCAAGAGGAGCAGAGAUGGGCAGAGAGGGGCAGAGAGGGGCGGGCUGCAAAGGGAGCUGGAGCCCCAGCCUGCCCUUCGACCAUGGAGAACCCGAUUCUCCUUAUCUGUAAAUGGACGGGGUUCAAUGAAUCUAGGGUCCCCGACAAACCCGGGGAAAAUGGACAAGCAUAAAUUGAUUCUCACAGAAUAAUCAAUGAAAUUCACUUGAUCCACCUGAUUGUGUUUUCUCCUCUCAGGACAUAAGAAUAAAAGACUGACAAGAACUAGCUAUUGCUGAAACAGGACACAAAGACCAGACCACUGCACAUCGAUCUUCCUUCAUCUGUGUCAGGACAUUACAUUUUCAUCUCAGUCUCAUCCGCGGCUUGACACCUGGGCCGCUGAGCUUGGCCACAGCCAUCGCCCUAUGCGACGCCGGCACAGGAGAAAGGCAGACGCUCGUGCACACAGGUUCUGGGGCUGUUCCUGUUUUAGUGCUUUGUUUAGAGAUGCUACAGACGUAGGGAGAAUUAUCAAUAAGACAGGUAAGUAAAAUAAAACAAAUAUUUUAAAGGUCGACCAUUUGGAGAUAAAAAAGUGCAAAGAAAGUGAGUGUAUCCACUUAGAAUCAAAAUAAUCACACGUGGGCUGCCCCGCCAUCCCUGCAGGGGUGCCAGGCAGCAGGCAUAGACCAAGGCCCCGAUGUCAGGCCCUCGAUUUCUGCUCCCACCCCCUAGUCCCCGCAGUCAGACGGGGCAUCUCAGUGUCAAAAAGUGAGUAGAACAGCAGCUCACUGAGACCACUCGCAUAGUAUUUGCCCUCAACACCAAUUAACGGGCUGUAAUCCAAAAUCAACUUGUUGGGUUGUGUGGGGUGAAGGGUCCCUAAAACAAAAAUGUCAUGUUUUGCACUUUGGCCUUUAUAUGACAAUUCUCUACAAGUCUGGGUGAUAAAAUACAGUUAACCCCAGGUAACAGAACACACACACACCAGCGAGCAACAUUAAGGACCUGACUCUUUCUCAGUCUAAUGCCCAGGCACACCACACCGCCAGCUGACCCCGAGGGGGAGCAGGUUCUGGCCACGCUCCCCAACACAGAGCUUGCUGGGCUAGACCCAGGGACCGGAGAGAGGGCAACAAAGAACCAGAGGCCCAUGUUUAAAACAGCAAACCCAAGAGGACUUGUCCACUCAUUAGGUAAUUAACCCAGGAAGGGUCCAGUCAGAAAGGAACCUAGGUAUUCCAUGUGGCGAAUUCAAUGUGGCUUCAAGCACACAAAUGGUGGAAGAGCAGAAGAGCCACAUGGGGAAGGGCAAGGCCACCAACUAUUCCCCAGGUGGGGAGGGCGGAGGGAGGCAGUGGCAUGUCCAGAGCCCAGUAGCUCAUGCCGCCCAGCAGGAGCUGGGACCAAGGGGGACAGCUUUGCAGGAGCUGGUACCUGGGAAGGAAGGGGCAGAGGGAGAGGUGCUCUGGCUUCCAUCUCGCCCUCCUCCCCACUCCAGCGUCCAGGGUCAGAAACCAGAAGCCAAGGAGUCCCCCCAACACCCAGCAGAGCAGAGCAAAGGUGGGGAACAGAGCUGAGAAAAGACAGGCAGGUGACCAUCAUGCCAACCCGGUAAGAUCUGAGGGUGGCCUGCCCCUGAAGGGCUCCUGCGCCGGGGUGCGGUGUCAAGACACCGGACAUGGGAUGCCUUCCCAUGUCUCAGUGGUGGCUCAGCGGUGGCUCAGCAGUGGAGCGUCUGCCUUCGGCUCAGGACAUGACCCUGGGGUCCUGGGAUCAAGUCCCGCAUCAGGCUCCCUGCAGGGAGCCUGCUUCUGUCUCUGCC
rnacentral:lncRNA from 1 species